rnacentral:rRNA from 1 species
UACGUAGGGGGCAAGCGUUGUCCGGAAUCAUUGGGCGUAAAGCGCGUGUAGGCGGCUCGGUAAGUCCGCUCUGAAAGUCCAGGGCUCAACCUGGGAUGCGGGUGGAUACUGCCGGGCUCGAGUCCGGAAGAGGCGAGUGGAAUACCGAGUGUAGAGGUGAAAUUCGUAGAUAUUCGGUGGAACACCAGUGGCGAAGGCGACUCGCUGGACUGAUACUGACGCUGAGGUGCGAAAGCUAGGGGAGCAAACAGG